AUACGGAGGAUGCGAGCGUUAUCCGGAUUUAUUGGGUUUAAAGGGAGCGUAGGUGGGAUAUUAAGUCAGCUGUGAAAGUUUGGGGCUCAACCUUAAAAUUGCAGUUGAUACUGGUUUCCUUGAGUACGGUACAGGUGGGCGGAAUUCGUGGUGUAGCGGUGAAAUGCAUAGAUAUGACGAAGAACACCGAUUGCGUAGGCAGCUGACCAGACCGCAAAUGACGCUCAUGCACGAAAGUGCGGGGAUCGAACAGGAUUAGAUACCCUGGUAGUCCGCACAGUAAACGAUGAAUACUUGUUUUCGGCGAUAUAAUGUCGGAGGCAAAGCGAAAGCGAUAAGUAAUCCACCUGGGGAGUACGCCGGCAACGGUGAAACUUAAAGGAAUUGGCGGGG
rnacentral:rRNA from 1 species